CGUGCCAGCCGCCGCGGUAACACGUAGGGGGCGAGCGUUGUUCGGAAUUACUGGGCGUAAAGGGCAUGUAGCGGUUUGGUAAGCCCUGGCGUGAAAGUCCACAGCUUAACUGUGGGAUUGCGCUGGGAACUGCUGAGCUUGAGUGACGGAGAGGGAGCUGGAAUUCCUGGUGUAGGGGUGAAAUCUGUAGAUAUCAGGAAGAACACCGAUGGCGAAGGCAAGCUCCUGGCCGAUGACUGACGCUGAGGUGCGAAAGUGUGGGGAUCAAACAGGAUUAGAUACCCUGGUAGUCCACACAGUAAACGAUGUGCACUAGGUGCUGGGGCGGUAGCCUCGGUGCCGGAGCGAACGUGGUAAGUGCACCGCCUGGGGAGUAUGCUCGCAAGGGUGAAACUCAAAGGAAUUGACGGGGGCCCGCACAAGCGGUGGAGCAUGUGGUUUAAUUCGAUGGUACGCGAGGAACCUUACCUGGGUUUGACAUACGGAGGGAUGCGGCAGCGAUGUUGCAGCGUCGAAAGACGGCUCCAUACAGGUGCUGCAUGGCUGUCGUCAGCUCGUGCCGUGAGGUGUUGGGUUAAGUCCCGCAACGAGCGCAACCCUACUGCCAGUUACUACCAGGUGAAGCUGAGGACUCUGGCGGAACUGCCGGUGACAAACCGGAGGAAGG
rnacentral:rRNA from 1 species